UAUUAAAAAUUUCAUUCAUUUCCAUGAUUAAAAACGGACAUAGCUGACAUAAUAACCAAACAAUGACAUGUGGUGUGCUAUGUGUAACUCAUGCUAACAUAUAAUGACCAGCUUUUAAUGAUAGAAAUGGAUAAAAAUUUUAACA
rfam:Gossypium raimondii Chr06_contig_1306, whole genome shotgun sequence.